GAUGAACGCUGGCGGCGUGCCUAAUACAUGCAAGUCGAGCGAACAGACGAGGAGCUUGCUCCUCUGACGUUAGCGGCGGACGGGUGAGUAACACGUGGAUAACCUACCUAUAAGACUGGGAUAACUUCGGGAAACCGGAGCUAAUACCGGAUAAUAUAUUGAACCGCAUGGUUCAAUAGUGAAAGACGGUUUUGCUGUCACUUAUAGAUGGAUCCGCGCCGCAUUAGCUAGUUGGUAAGGUAACGGCUUACCAAGGCAACGAUGCGUAGCCGACCUGAGAGGGGGACCGGCCCACCGGGAAUUGAGAACCGGUCCAGACUCCACGGGGGGGCAGGAGUGGGGAAUUUUCCGAAAUGGGGGAAAGCCUGGCGGAGAAACGCCGGGGGGGUGAAGAAGGUUUUGGGAUCGAAAAACUUUGUUUUUAGGAAAAAAAAAAUGUGUAAGUAACUUUGCACGUCUUGACGGUACCUAAUCAAAAAGCCACGGCUAACUACGU
rnacentral:rRNA from 1 species